GGGGGGGGGGGAAUUAAUAGCCAACGAAAAUAGGAAUUGAAAGUCUCCGAGAGGCUGCGCUGGCGAAAGUGAUGGUGCCUGACUGGCCUUUUUGCUGAAUAUUUGCUUAGCGAUGGGUGGAAAGGAGAAAGUUGCGGCAUACUUUUUAUUCUCGUCUUCUCUGCAGGCGUUCGGCAGCGUGAAGGAAGGGUGGAGGGUGCCUUCUUUCUUUCUUUCUUUUUUUUUUUUCCUCCUCUCUUCUUCUUUUCCCUCCUUUCUACUGAAUUAUUCAUAGUGUCAGUGGUGAAGCCAGGACUAUUAGCAUGCAUCAGACAUGCUGUUUGUCUGUUUGCUAACAUUCUUCAUUCAAGACUUGUUAACUACCAGACAAGCUUAACACGCUUCUUUUUUCCCCCUCCCCUCCUCUCCUCUCUUCCUCCGUCUCUCUCUCUCUCUUCGCCUUCCCUCCCUCCUUCCCUCCCUCCCCUCGCCCCUUCCCUUCCUUUCCCUUCCUUUCCUUUCCCUUCCCUUCCCUCGCAGCCGCCCAUUGUUGCCGCCGGGCGCUGGCAGCCGGGGGCAGUUGCGGCCGGAGCGGGCGGAGGAGCGGCCGCCGGUUGCUAGGAGACUGCAGAGCUGCAAGGUGAACACCAGCACAUCGGCGGCUCCCCGGGCUGGCUCCCCACCCUGUACAGGUGUAUCAAUCAGCCUGGAUGUAGUCUCCCUGUUAAGGAGUGUGAAAGUUACAAGAGAAGAAUUAGAAUUUGACACUGAAAAAGCUCUUCCUCAUCUGAACCAUCGUUCAAAGCACAGAAUGAAAGGAGACGAACAGGUUUUCUAUCAUGCUGUCUGCAGGACUCCUAGAAGUUUCUUCUGAAACUUGGGAUUCACUCGCAACUUGCAAACUGGAGUCUGCUUACUGUUCUCUGUUUCAGAUAAGAUGUCAAAGCAAGCAAGGGAGACUUAGAAGUAAUGUGACUCAGGAAAAGAGUAUUUGAAAGAAUAACAUAGUGGGGAACCAAGCUGGAAGAUUAAAUAAGUGAAGACUGGUCAUCUAUGCAGAGGAAAUGACAAGGGCCUGUAGCAACAGCAUCAUGAAUAAUGGACACAAAGUAUCUAACACACUGUGGAGCGCUGGCAAAGAUCUGCUCACUUUCUACCACCUGAAGCCUGCUUUAAGACCGUUAAUGAAUGUUUAACCAGUGAAAGCUUUAGUCUCAGGUAAAAAGACUUACACUACUGUAAUUCUAUGGAGAGCCCUGGUCCCCUGAGAAAACAUCAGGUUGUCUAGAGGGAGCCAAAACAGGCAGUGCUGUGCGUCUGGCCACCCGAGCUCCUCCCCUGUAAUUCAUGAGGAGCGCUUCCUGUGCCAGCACCAUACUGGGGUCACUGGCCCAGUACCCUGGGCACUCCAGAAAGUCUU